UUGUUGGUGUAGAGGAAUCCAACUGAUUUUUGUGUUUAUCUUGUAACCUGAUACUCUGCUGAACUCUUCUAUUAGUUUCAGUAGUGUUUUUGAGGAGUCUUUAGGGCUUUCUGUGUGUAAGAUCAUGUCAUCUGCAAACAGAGAUACUUUAACUUCCUUACCAAUCUGGACGCUCUUUAUUUCUUUAUCUAGACUAACUGCUCUGGCUAGGACCUCCAGCACAAUGUUGAAUAAGAGUAGUGAUAGGGGGCACCCUUGUCUGAUUCUCGUUCUCAAGGGAAAUGCUUUCAGAAUCUCUCCAUUAAGGAUGAUGUUGGCUGUUGGAUUUGUAUAAACACCCUUUAUUAUGUUGAGAAAUUUUCCUUCUAUUCCUAUUUUGUUGAGAGUUUUUAUCAUGAAUGGGUUGUUGGACUUUGUCAAAUGCCUUUUCUGCAUCAAUUGAUAAAAUCAUGUGGUUCUUGUCUUUGGUUUUAUUUAUAUGGCGGAUUACAUUGUUUUUCUAAUACUGAACCAUCCUUGCAUACCUGGUAUGAAUCCCACUUGGUCAUGGUGGAUGAUUUUUUUGAUAUGUUGUUGAAUUCUACUGGCUAGAAUUUUGUUGAGGAUUUUUGCAUCUAUGUUCAUGAGGGAAAUAGGUCUGUAAUUUUCUUUUUUUGUGCUGUCUUUAGCUGGUUUUGGUCUCAGGGAUAUGCUGGCUUCACAGAAUGAGUUAGGGAGUAUUCUAUCCUUUUCUGUGCUUUGAAAUACCUUUAGUAGUAGUGGUGUUAACUCUUCUCUGAAAGUUUGGUAGAACUCUGCAGUGAAGCCGUCAGGACCAGGGUUUUUUUUGUUGGGAGUUUUUGAUUACCUUUUCAAUCUCUUUUUUUGUUAUGGGUCUGUUUAGUUGUUCUACCUCUGUUAGUGUUAGUUUAGAUAGGUAGUGUGUUUCUAGGAAUUCAUCCAUUUCUUCUCGGUUUUCAAAUUUGUUAAGAGUACAAUUUUUUGUAGUAAUCUGAUAUGAUUCUUUUAAUUUCAGUUGAGUCUGUUGCGAUAUGGCCCCUCUCAUUUCUUAUUUGAGUUGUUUCCUUUCCUGUAUUUCUUUAGUCAGUCUGGCCAAUGGGUUAUCAAUUUUGUUAAUUUUUUCAAAAAACCAGCUUUUGGCCUCGUUACCUCUUUCAAUUGUUUUUCUGUUCUCUAACUCAUUUAAUUCUGCUCUAAUUUUUAUUUGUUUUCUUCUGGUGUCUGACGGUUUCUUUUGUUGUUCUCUUUCUAUUUGUUCAAGUUGUAGGGACAGUUCCUUGAUUGUGGCUCUUUCUUCUUUUUGUUUGUGUGCAUUUAUCGAUAUAAAUUGACCUCUGAACACUGCUUUUGCUGUGUCCCAAAGGUUCUGAUGAGAAGUGUUUUCAGUCUCAUUGCAUUCUAUGAAUUUCUUUAUUCCCUCCUUAAUGUCUUCUAUAACCACUCUUUUUUGAGCAGGGUAUUUUUCAGUUUCCAAGUAUUUGAUUUCUUUUUGCUGUUUUUUCUGUUAUUGAUUUCCACUCUUAUGGCCUUAUGGUCUGAGAAGAUGCUUUGUAAUAUUUCGAUAUUUUGGAUUUUGCAAAGGCUUGCUUUAUAAUCUAAUCUGCGGUCUAUUCUAGAGAAUGUUCCAUGUGCACUAGAAAAGAAAGUAUAUUUGGUUGCUGUUGGGUGGAGUGUUCUGUAUAAGUCUAUGAGUUCUAGUUGGUUGAUUGUAGCAAUUAGGUCUUUCGUGUGUUUACUGAGCUUCUUAAUGGAUGUCCUGUCCUUCAUUGAAAGUGGUGUGUUGAAGUCUCCUACUAUAAUUGUGGAGGUGUCUAACUCACUUUUCAAUGCUGAUAGAGUUUGUUUUAUUUACCUUUCAGCCCUAUUAUUGGGUGCAUAAAUAUUUAAUAUGGUUAUAUCCUCCUGGUAAAUCGUCCCUUUAAUCAUUACGUAGUGUCCUUUAUCCUUUGUGGUGGAUUUAACUUUAAAGUCUAUUUUGGCAGAAAUUAAUAUUGCUACUCCUGCUCUUUUUUGAUUGUUGUUUGCUUGAUAUAUUUUUUUCCAUCCUUUGAGUUUUAGUUUGUUUGUGUCUCUAAGUCUAAGGUGUGUCUUUUGUAGGCAGCAUAUAGAUGGAUCGUGUUUUUUUAUCCAAUCUGCAACUCCCUGUUUCUUUAUUGGUUCAUUUAGUCCAUUUACAUUCAGUGUAAUUAUAGAUUUUUUUUUUAUGUGUUUAGUGAUGUCAUUUUGAUGCCUUAUUUUGUGUGUUGUUGACAAAUUCAUUUUUCCACUUACUUUUUUGUGCUGAGAAGUUUUUCUUUGUAAAUUGUAUGUUCCUCAUUUUCAUAGUAGUUGAAUUUAUUUUUGCUGAGUUGUUAUGUUUACCUUGGUUUUUAUUUUGAAGUAUGGAAUUGUUAGACCUCUUUGUGGUUACCUUAAUAUUUACCCCUAUUUUUCUAAGUAAAAACCUAUCUUGUAUCGUCCUAUAUCGCCUUAGUUUCCUCUCCAUAUGGAUGAUCUAUGUUUAUUUAGUCCCUCUUUUUUGAUUCUUGUAAUCUUUUACAUAAUGACAUCAAUGAUUCCCUGUUUUGAGCAUUUUUAAAAAUUAUUCUUAUUUUGUUUUUGUGAUUUCCCUAUCUGAGUUGGUAUCAGGAUGUUCUGUUUUGUGACCCUGUGUUGUGUUGGUAUUUGAUAUUAUUGCUUUUCUGACCAAAGAAUUUCCUUUAGUAAUUCUUGUAGCUUUGGUUUGGUUUUUGCAAAUUCUCUAAGCUUGUGUUUAUCUGUAAAUGUCUUAAUUUCACCUUCAUUAUUUGAGAGAGAGUUUUGCUGGAUACAUGAUUCUUGGCUGGGAGUUUUUCUCCUUCAGUGCUGUAUAUAUGUCAUCCCAUUGCCUUCUUGCCUGCAUGAUUUCUGCUCAGUAGUCCAAACUUAUUGUUAUUGAUUCUCCUUUGUAGGUGACUUUUCGUUUUUCUCUGGCUGCUUUUAAAAUUUUCUCUUUAUCUUUGGUUUCGGCAAGUUUGAUGAUGAUAUGUUUUGGUGAUUUUCUUUUGGGAUCUAUCUUGUAUGGGGUUCGAUGAGCAUCUUGGAUAGAUAUCCUUUCAUCUUUCAUGAUGUCAGGGAAGUUUGCUGCCAACAGAUCUUCAACUAUUCUCUCUGUAUUUUCUGUUAUCCCUCCCUGUUAAGGAGCUCCAAUCACACGCAAGUUAUUCUUCUUGAUAGAGUGCCACAUGGUUUUUAGGGUUUCUUCAUUUUUUUGAAUUCUUUUAUCUGAUUUUUCUUCAAAUAUAUUUGUGUCAAUUGCCUUAUCCUCCGUCUCUCCAACUCCACAUUCCAAUUCCUCGAUUCUGCUCCUGACUUCCUAAUGAGUUGUCUAAUUCUGUGAUUUUAUUGUUAAUCUUUUGAAUUUCUGAAUGCUGUCCCUCUAUGGAUUCUUGAAGCUUAUUAAAUUUUUCCCUAUGUUCUUGAAUAAUCUUUUUGAUUUCUUCAACUGCUUUAUCAAUGUGUUCCUUGGCUUUUUCUGUAGAUUGCCUUUUUUCAUUUCUGAGGUCAUCCCUGAUGUCCUGAAGUAUUCUGUAUAUUAGUUUUUUAUAUUCUACAUCUGGCAAUUCCAGGAAUGUAUCUUCAUCUGGGAAAGAUUUUGAUUCUUUGCUUUGGGGGUUUGUAGAAGCAAUCAUGGUCUCCUUCUUUAUGUGAUUUGAUAUCGACUGCUGUCUCCGAGCCAUCUAUAAGAUAUUGUAAUGAUUUUAUAUCUGCUCACUGAGUCUUAUCUUCUUGUUUUGUUUUGUUUCAGUACACCCAGAUGGGCUACUAGAUUGUGCUAACUUGAUUGAUGAAGCCUUUGAAUCACUUGUGUCCUGUUACCAGCUGGUUUGAGCUGUCACCAGUCUGUCUUAGUCUGGAAACUCCACUGAACCUGUCCAGUCAGCAUCAGAGCAACACACAAGCCUCCACUGCAAGAUGGGUGUUGGCUACACAUGAGGUGCGCUGGAAACGAGCUCAGGUCUCCUGCACGGAAGGCCAGCAGUGUAUGAUCCGGCUUUAGGACGAUGCCUGAGGAGUUUGGUGGGAGUGGAGGAAGAGGAGCAGAGAGAAAAGCAUCGUGUGCAUGUGAUGAACACACUCUUCAAGUGCAAAACAAGUAACUGGACUGGGGUGCAGAUGUUCACCAUCACAGAUUCGAGUCUUGUGCCCAGCACAGUAAAUUGCAACAUGGUCGGCUUUUGUUUGCCGAGUUAACCUUGGACCAAGGAAGCCCUGGGAACAUCUGAAAAUAAAAUAUGAGAAUAGCUGUGACUUAAGAGUGUGUGGGGUAAGUAUAGUCACUUUCUUUCAGUAAAUUCCAAAUGGUUGUUCUAUGUCUAAAACAGAAGGCAGUAACUUCUAAGUACUUUAAUAUUUAUAAAAGAGAUUCUGUCUUAAAAAUGAAAAUUUUAUUGGGAAAAUAACUGAUUUAGUUUUUCUAAUGAAUAUCAACAGUAGUCCCUGAGGUGCCAUGUGGGAUUAGUACUUGUUCUAAGAUAGUAUGGAAGAGAAUGACAGUAAACUCAAAACAAUUUUUAGUGAACAUUAUCAAAAUCCAGCACAAACUAGAGCAAAUAUAAUACCUUAGCCAACAAAAAGAGGCAUUUAAAAACCAUCUCUAUUAUUUCACACACUAAAUAAAUAUGUGGUAGCAAAAACCAUUACCACUGAGCCAGUUCCAACUCAUAGUGACCCUAUAGGACAGAGUAGAACAGCUCCAUUGGGUUUUCAAAGAGUGGCUGGUGGAUUCGAACUCCCAAACUUUUGGUUAGCAACCAAAUGCUUAACCACUACACCACCAGGGCUCCAUGUGGUAGCAGGUAAAUUAUUUAUCCCACUUGAAUUAAUUUCUGUAGUAUCAACCUAAGGACUGCAAGUAGUUUCCAUCUGGAGUCUGAAGAUGAGCUGAAGAAAUCUGAAACCUAUGGUCUCCCGUUGUGCCCUGUGGCUAACUAGAAAGACUUAAUACCAGAUUAUUUCAACAAAUUAAGUGAUCCAGGGUACAACCCAAUCCUCCAUCCAAAGGUGAGAAGUGAUAGGGAAGAUGUAUGUUUGGUACUGUUUCUCCUUGGUGGUUGUUCAUUUUGGAAAAACAAAAAUUAAGUUCUUUCAUAUUAAGAAGGAUCUGUUACUAUAUCCAAAUAUUUGCUAUAAGAAUGAUCAAGUGAGCAAAUUCCUGAAAAACUGUGGGGAAAAUUUUUGCAAGUUGACAGGAUUUAGUAAUAAUGAUUAUCUCUUCAAUAUCAAUGCUCUAUCUCAAAAGUGUUGGAUUUUUGCUCCCCCAAAUUAAGUCAGAUCACUCACACUUUUUAAUAUUCCUAAUGGAUGUAUACCCUGUUGCCUUCAAGUUGAUUCCAACUCAUAGCAACCCAAUAGGAUGGAAGAGAACUGCUUCCAUAGAGUUUCUAAGGAGCAGCUGGUAGAUUUGAACUGCUGACUUUCUGGUUAGCAGCCGAGCUCUUAACCACUGCGUCACCAAGGCUCCAAUGGAUGUAUACUUAGUACUUAAAAUAAUCUUUCAUGAAGUAGAUCUCUAAAAUAAGAACAGCAUUACAUUGAUUGAUAUAGAUCUUUUCACUUCAUAAAAACACUUUAGUGGGCAUGAAGAGUUAUCUCAAAAGCGCUACGUGGAAAAGAUUCGUGCACCACUUAGAGGCGAACGGUAUUCCGAACAAUAAAUGACUUUAGGUAAGAAAACAAAGGUUUUCUACUCAAAACAUUAUCAUAAUUCCUAAGAAAAAAUUCAAAACAGGUGAAGGAAAACACAGCUCUUCCUAAGAACUUAAUGUAUGUUACAAAUAAAUAGUCUGCAAGGUCCUAAAGUGCAGAAAACGUGUUAUUAAGUUUUUGUUGUUUACUUACCUAUAGGCUAAGCACAAAGCUAUGUAUCUAAUGAGUACAAUGUGGUACAGGAGAAAGAAGUCAGCCUUUGGAAUGAAGGCCUGGAUUCAAUCUCAGCUCUGCCAUUUUCUAGUAUAUGACUUUGGACAAACCUCCCUGACCUCAGUUUUAAUAUCCGAAACAACUUCUGUCUCGGGACACUGCUAGGAAAAUUAAAUGAGACAUUUGUGAUCUCCUAUUGUAAUACCAAAUGAGCCUUGGUGGUACACUGGUUAAGCGCUCAGCUUCUACCCCAAAAGUUGGCGGUUAGAACUCACCAGCUGCUCUGCCGGAGAAAGAUAAGGCAGUCUGCUUUGGUAAAGAUUACACAGCCUUGGAAGCCCUGUGGGGCAGUUGUACUCCAUCCUAUAGGGUCACUGUAAAUUGGAAUCAACUCGAUGGCAAUGGGUGUUUUGGUUAUUGUAAUACCAAGCCCAGUGAACCCAGAAUGAUAACUCAUCUACAUUUUUUUAAAAAUAAUGGUUUGUUUCUCUAUUAACAGCCUCCACAUAGAGCUUCAAAUGGAGCUACUGGAAAGGUUUAGAUGGAGACUUUUUUUCUCUGCUCCUCAUAACAUCACACUCACUUCCAAAACUAUAUGUGUAGGCAUUGUUAUUUUUUAUUGUUGUUAGCUGACACUGAGUCAGCUCCUACUCAUGGUAACCUUGUGUACAAUGGAACAAAAUGUUGCCUGGUCCUGAGCCAUCUUCAUGAUGAUUGGUAUGUUUGAGUCUAUUGUUGUGGAUAUUUGUAGGCAUUACCUGUAUUCAAUACACAUUCUGAAACUUUUUUUUAUCUUUGGUUCUAAUUUUUUUUUUUAAUAUGCAGUUUACUAAGCAUUCUAUCCACCACCCAUCUGCCACUGUGUCGUAGUGUAGCCUGAGUGCUGCUGCGAUGCUAGAAGCUAUACCACCAGUAUCUCAAAUACCAGCAGGGUUACCCACGGUGGACUGGUUUCAGUUGUGGUUCCAGACUAAGACAGGCUAAGAAGAAAGGCCUAGGAAUCUAUUUCUGAAAGCUUGGCAAUGAAAAUCCUAUGGACCACAACAGAAUAUUAUCCAAUACAAUCCUGGAAGAUGACCCCCUAGGUUGGAAGGCACUCAAAAUACACAGUGGCUACAACAACAGACUCAAGCAUGCCAAUGAUUGUGAAGAUGGCAGAGAACUGGGCAAUGUUUCGUUCUGCUGUAUGUGGGGUCACUGUGAGACAGAGCAGAGUUAAUAGCAACUAAUAACAAGAUUCUAUGCCAUUUCUCAUUAAAUAAAUAUUUAGUUAGAGCCUUUUACUUAUCACAAAGGAAAGACUAAUUUAAAUGAUCAAACAGAAACUAAAAGGCUGAGGAAUCUAUGAGAUUCAGAAGAAAAGAAAGUAUUAGGUAAUAGACAAAGGAACGACAUAUUGGGUAAAAGCAUAGACUUUGAAAUAAGACAGGCCAAGGUUCACACGUGGGCCCAACUAAUUACUACCUUUGUGAUCUUGGGGGAGCCAACGUCUUCCAGUAUCAAUUUCUUCAGUAAAAUGAGGAAAAUACU